ensembl:lncRNA
GGCGAUAAGGAGAGGUGGAUGAGCAGGUGCUAAGGAGAGGGAGGAGGAGGCGCAAAGGAGUGGGAGGAGGAGGCGAUAAGGAGAGGUGGAUGAGUAGGUGCCAAGGAGAGCUGGAUGAGGAGGCGCUAAGGAGAUGUGGAUGAGGAGGUGCCAAGGAGAGCUGGAUGAGGAGGCGCUAAGGAGAUCUGGAUGAGGAGGUGCUAUGGAGACGUGGAGGAGGCGCUAAGAAGAGGUGGAUGAGCAGACACCAAGGAGAGGUGGAAGAGGAGGCGCUAAGGAGAGGUGGAUGAUCAGGCACUAAGGAGAGGUGGAUGAUCAGGCACUAAGGAGAGGUGGAUGAGCAGGUGCUAAGGAGAGGAAGGAGGAGGG